UACGUAGGGUGCAAGCGUUAAUCGGAAUUACUGGGCGUAAAGCGUGCGCAGGCGGUUGUGCAAGACAGAUGUGAAAUCCCCGGGCUCAACCUGGGAACUGCAUUUGUGACUGCACGGCUAGAGUGUGUCAGAGGGGGGUAGAAUUCCACGUGUAGCAGUGAAAUGCGUAGAUAUGUGGAGGAAUACCGAUGGCGAAGGCAGCCCCCUGGGAUAACACUGACGCUCAUGCACGAAAGCGUGGGGAGCGAACAGG
rnacentral:rRNA from 1 species